rnacentral:lncRNA from 1 species
UUUCCUAUACCUGAUCUGAUUUAGCUGAAUGCUUUACAUGUCUCGAGGUUGUGGUGAUUAGUUGGUAUGACAUGGGAAAGCCAUGAGUCCAAGGAUAUGGCUUGGGAGGAAAAGUUUUUUCCCGCUCUCCUUAGUUUUAUGAUAAGAGGAGUCAAAAAGUGAUUCUAGACUUAUAAAAGGAAUCUUUAUGCGUUUGGAGUCAAAACUCAAAAGUGAUUCUAGACUUAAAAAAGGAAUCAAAUAAAAGUAUUGUAUUUAUUUCUUUUCACUUUCUAUCCAUCCAAACAACUAAAAAGUACUAUCUGAUUUUCUAUUUAUUUUCAUUCAUUUCAUCCGCCUUCUUUGAUCAACCAAAUAUAGUUUUAAAUUUAUAGGGUAGCUUUUAUUGAGAUUAACUUAAAAUUAAGGAAAUUCCAUAUUAACUAUAGUG